UGGAAGACUGAUAGACUGAGUGGCGGACGGGUGAGUAACGCGUGGGCAACCUGCCCCAUACCGGGGGAUAGCAGUUGGAAACGGCUGGUAAAACCGCAUAAGCGCACGGUAAGGCAUCUUACAGUGUGAAAAACUCCGGUGGUAUGGGAUGGGCCCGCGUCUGAUUAGCCAGUUGGUGAGGUAACGGCUCACCAAAGCGACGAUCAGUAGCCGGCCUGAGAGGGCGGACGGCCACAUUGGGACUGAGACACGGCCCAGACUCCUACGGGAGGCAGCAG
rnacentral:rRNA from 1 species